rnacentral:rRNA from 1 species
AGGGAAUCUUCCGCAAUGGACGAAAGUCUGACGGAGCAACGCCGCGUGAGUGAAGAAGGCCUUCGGGUCGUAAAACUCUGUUGCCGGGGAAGAACAAGUGCCGUUCGAAUAGGGCGGUACCUUGACGGUACCUAACCAGAAAGCCACGGCUAACUACGUGCCAGCAGCCGCGGUAAUACGUAGGUGGCAAGCGUUGUCCGGAAUUAUUGGGCGUAAAGCGCGCGCAGGCGGCUUCUUAAGUCUGAUAUGAAAUCUUGCGGCUCAACCGCAAGCGGUCAUUGGAAACUGGGAGGCUUGAGUGCAGAAGAGGAGAGUGGAAUUCCACGUGUAGCGGUGAAAUGCGUAGAGAUGUGGAGGAACACCAGUGGCGAAGGCGGCUCUCUGGUCUGUAACUGACGCUGAGGCGCGAAAGCGUGGGGAGCAAAC